GACGAACGCUGGCGGCGUGCUUAACACAUGCAAGUCGAACGGAAAGGCCCUGCUUUUGUGGGGUGCUCGAGUGGCGAACGGGUGAGUAGCACGUGAGUAACCUGCCCUUGACUUUGGGAUAACUUCAGGAAACUGGGGCUAAUACCGGAUAGGAGCUCCUGCUGCAUGGUGGGGGUUGGAAAGUUUCGGCGGUUGGGGAUGGACUCGCGGCUUAUCAGCUUGUUGGUGGGGUAGUGGCUUACCAAGGCUUUGACGGGUAGCCGGCCUGAGAGGGUGACCGGCCACCGUGGGAAUGAGGUCCGGCCCAGCCUCCUACGGGAGGCAGCAGUGGGGAAUAUUGCACAAUGGGCGGAAGCCUGAUGCAGCAACGCCGCGUGCGGGAUGACGGCCUUCGGGUUGUACACCGCUUUCGCCUGUGACGAAGCGUGAGUGACGGUAAUGGGUAAAGAAGCACCGGCUAACUACGUG
rnacentral:rRNA from 1 species